CUUAAGGCAGAGCAAGUGUUUGGUUUGCUCUCUCUGCCUAGAACAUUAACCAAGGUCAGAGAGUGCUUAGAAUCAAGUUUGUGUAACUCUUUCAUAUGCAUUCUUAAAAGUAUCAUAUCAUUAUUACUCAUGUCCUGCAAAGAUCAGGUGAUAGCCUGAACCAUAUUAAUGCUAGAUUUAAGUACAUCAAAUUCAUAAACACUUUGUGCUGUACUUUAUAAAAAUAACACCUUAAUUUAUAUAAUCCAUUAGAAUUUCAUAACAUUUUCAUUAUUAUCUCAUUCAGUAUCUCAAGAAUCCUUGGAGUAUGAACCUUUAAUCCAAUGAUUCUCCACUGUGGGCAAUUUUGCUCCCCACCCAGCAGACAUCUGACAGUGCCUGGAGACAUUUUUGGUUGUCACAUCUCACAAUGACCAGGACAGGCCCCACCCCAAUUACAGUGAAUUAUCUGGCCCCAAAUUUGAAUAUCGUCAAUGUUUGUAAACACUUUAACCCAUCUUUAAAGAAAUCCUGCUUUAAUCCCUCUUUAAAGAUGACUAAAACAGGUACCUGAGAACCUAAAUUGCCUGAGGUCACAUAGCUGGUCAUGUAUUCUCUUUCCCAGUCUUAGGACUAGAAGCCAAAUAUCACCACUUAUUCAUAUGUUACCUCCAUAGUCAUUGUGACUGCAUUCUAUAUGAGUGUUUCAGUGCUCAGUCAUGUUAUAAAAAUGUCAGAUUAAAGGAAAAUCUCUCCUUUUGAUUUGCAAAGUCAAGGAGAAGACAUGCAGGACUUGCAGGGGCAGGGUUGGGGCAGUACUCUGACAGGAUCUCAGCAUGGGUUGCCUUUGGUUCCUGGAGCUGUCCCAGGACUAAGGGACAGGGGGUGCCAGAUGAGAAGGAACGCAGGUGAAAAAAGUCUCAUUAUCAAAUUAAAACUUAGACGAGGGAAAAAAGGGAGAAUAAGGGGAUUUGUCCAGGGAGGAAGGAGAGAUGAUUCAUGAGGAUAUUCGUGUGGAUGAAGAAAGAACUGCCUGGAGCAAUUCUUCGAUUCCAGUUCAAGUGCCCAGUGGGUUUUAAGUGAUGCCUGCAGGUGAUGUUUUGGGUGUGCUAAGAGCACUUUCAAUGAUUCUAAAUUGAGAUGAGCUUCAGACACACAAGACAAGCUAGUUUAAAAGCAGGAAAUUCUGACCCAUCAUCAGAAAUUCUGAUUCAUUAGCUAUGGGUUGGGGCCUGGCAAACUGUACUGUAGCACACUCCCCUUAUUGAUUCUGAUGGUGAGGGUCAGAAUAAGUCAAAUGCUGGAGGUAGCCAGACCUGAAACACAGAGCGAGUACACCUGGAUCCUCCUCUCUCUCCU
rnacentral:lncRNA from 1 species